rnacentral:lncRNA from 1 species
UAUAAGUCAACUAAUAUUGCAAAAUAGCAAGAGCAAAAUUGUAACAUUCUAGGCCAUUUAAUUUCUGAUAAGCAAGGAGUACCAUACUUGGCGAAAAUAGAGAUGGCUGGCAGAUUUUCUCAAUACAGACUUUUUAAAGAUACAUAGUGGCACAUAAAAAUCGAUAUACAAUGUCAAUUUUUUUCCCUAAAAAGAAGUAAAGUGAAAUUCCCUCGUGGCGGUUUUGGUCACCAUGCUGAUGUGCUCCCAGCUAUUAACACCGUGAAAAUAGCCCCUCUCAAGUUAGGACCUUAUAUAAAGAACCAUGGGUAUUUUUAAGCCCUUGUUUUUUGUUCCGCGUCCUCAAGUGAAGGACUAUGCUUCGAUCUGUAAGGAUGAUUUCAUUAGCUGAUCAAGAGUUAGAUUGGCCAGAUAAUAUCACUCUAGCUGGCAUUUUGUACUCGUGAAUCAUCCUUGUUUUUUCUGCAUGACGUUGAAAUAAUCGUCCUUGAAUGGACAACCUAAUGUAGUAAUCUCGCAGAUCUCUAGGAUGUCAGCCAACUAGGCUUCAAGUUAUUUGUAAUGGGCAGUGAUGCAGUGACUUAAAUAGGUGUUGGGAAAUUAGACUAUGCAUAACUCCGUACCUUAAAAAGCCACCAUGUCAAUUUCAUGAAAUCUUAACCACUGGGAUUCGCCCCAGUGGCCACCCUUCUAACAUAGAAGGGAGAGGUGAGGGGUUCAAAUCUCUACUUUCUUAAGGGAGGAUGGGGUGGGGAUGCGUAAGUUUCAGGAGUUGGUUUCGACUUCCACGCCCUACAAGAGGCAGGGCAAAAAUUUGAAAGUGAGUAUAGAGUAGGAAUAGAAUAGGAUUGACAAAAAAAAAAAUCAUGAAAUCUUGCUUCAUUUUCGUUUUCGUUUUCCAUUCCAUGCUCUUUGGAAAGGAGCAAAAAUUUCCUUCCUGUAAAUGGGGAUUGCCAGCGUCCUGUUUCUUUUCCAUUUCAAUGCCGUAAAGCACACCCUAUAUAGGCAACUCCAAGCCGAUAAAAUACCCAACUAAUGUAAUGGAUUAGAUGAGACCAAGUGAAAAAUGGACAAAAGAAAACACUGAAGGCCCUUCUCUAAAAUUUGUAUGUCACUAAUAAACAAUUAAUUUUCAAUGACAUUAGUACUGGAGUCUAGUUAAGUUUAGAACCUAACAAACAGUAAAUGACUUAAAAAGAAAAUCAAAAGAAAAACCUAGGCCUAUACUAAGGAAAGAUAUGACAACCUCCACCAUGGUGCUCCCUUGACCACGCAGACGUCACCAUAGUUCUCUUCUUUAUCGCGCUGGUCACCGGAGAUCAAUCAAUGGGGGGGAUGGUGUGGAAGGUACUGCAAUGGGGGGGAUUUUAUUCACUUCGAUUUAUUUUUUCAUUUGAGUGGAUAAAAUCGACUCAGAUACUUCAUUGACGACUUUUCCAUUCAUAUGGAUUUGUCUAGUCUAGAGGGCAGUACCAACCAAAAAAUUAUGAGAUGAUAUGGCAGCUCGAUUCUUUUAUGAGCUACCAAACAGCGCACAAUCACACGAAACCACGCCACAAUAUUCAACCAAACUCUUCGCAUUCUUUCAUAAUCUACGAGAAAAUCUGGUAGGCCUAAUCUAUUUGCUAAUUAUCAGUAUUGUCUAUUCUACCAUUCUAUUUUUUCAUAAACUUAGAGUUCGUUAUUGAUAUUUUGAGAUACAUAAGUUUUAUGGAUGAUCGUUAUCUCUUCCACGAGGCCUGUAAUUAUCCUAUUGAAGUAUUUAUUCUAUUGAAACAACAUAUAUGAUUUAUGCUUAAGCUUAAAUUGAUCUAAAAACAUUAAUAUUUUUGUAUGGUUAACUAAAUAGUCGGUUUGCUAAUAAAAAUUUUAUAUUUCGAGUCUAUGAUGCUUUAAUAAAAGAAUCAGUUAUUUGUUCAUUAUUUUUUGAAUUGGAUAACUUCGAUUUAUUAGCUUAUAUCUUUGAUCUAUGAAGUGUUAAAUAUCAUAAAAGUUAGCUCUUUAAAAAAUGUAUUAUCUAUCUGUGUUAUUCAAAGUUGAUUUGGAUAUAAAAUGAUAAUUACUACAUAAAAUAUAAUAAUCGAUCGGUGCACUUCUGAUUGAUGAUGUUCUUAUAGAUAAAAACACAAUUACAUUAUUGUAUUACUUUCAUGUUAAUGAUGCUUUCACAGGGACCAGAAAAAGUUAUAAAGCAUGAUAUUGAUUCGUGGUAUUUAUACAUUUAUAGAAGAAAGUAAGAGAGUGAAUUUUGUAUGGAAAAAUAUCUUUAAGCCAGUUAUGCUCGAUUUGAUCACAUAUUAAUUUUUUUUCCUAUUUAUAAAAUAUUGUAAUGAGACUCUCAAUAUUGUAUCUACGGAAAGUGACUAAUAAAAACAGAAAUCUCUCUUCUAUUUGUUCAAGGGAUUAGUUUUAAAAUAUUAGAUAGUGCUUGUGUGGAAUUUAUUUUUUUUAAAUACAUAAGAAUGUUUAGGCCAUUUGAAGACUGAUUUUAUCAGCUUAAGAAGAUUAGUAAUUAUAAUAGAUGUGAUUAGAAAUUUAAAUAAUGUUUUUUUUAUGGUGGAUCUAGAUAGCAACAUUUCAUAGACCUCAUGUAUUAUUUAUGCU